rnacentral:lncRNA from 1 species
GUCGAAACAGACUUUUAUUUUAAAAAGUAUUCUUGAUAAUGUGUUCAAAGACUGCCCUGGCUACAGCCCAGGACUGGCAGUAAAUACAACCAGCUUUGGGGAGGAAUCUCCCUCUGGGGAAUGUGGAAUCACAGAUGCUGACAGCCCAAAGGAGGCACUGGAAACAGGUGAGUGAAACUCCUGGGGAGAAUCUUAGCUGAGGAAUUAGCUAGGGAAACUCCCUAAGCAUGAAGGUUUCUAUGGCAGAUCAGGAUCACUUACCCUUUCAAGCACUCAGGUUUUGUUUGCAGGCAAAUUGUUUACACAAUCAGAGGACUCAGUUGCCAGGAAACAGUCAAUGUCCCCAGCUCAUUAGUCUGAUGGCAAAUAAAUCUACCAAUAUCAAGGCACCGGGCCUGGUCCCUGAGCCAAGAUCAAGUCCAAUUGAUGCUGUGGAUAAUUUCCUACGUGGCUUUUUUUUUUUUUUUGAGACAGAGUCUCGUUCUGCUGCCCAAGCUGGAAUGCGUACAAUCUCGGCUCACUGCAACCUCCACCUCCCAGAUUCAAGCGAGUGCCUCAGCCUCCUGAGUAGCUGAGAUUAUAGGCGCUCACCACCACACCCAGCUAUUUUUUUUUUUUUUAGUAGAGACAGGGUUUCACCAUGUUGCCCAGGUUGGUCACAAAUCCUGGCCUCAAGUGAUCGGCCCGCCUAGGCCUCCCAAAGUGCUGGGAUUACAGGCGUGAGCCACCGCGCCCAGCUGGCUUCUUCCUUUUCAAAGGCCUCCCUCAUCUUGUCAGUCAUUUCCUUGCUGACUUCAGUCUGUUCAUAUUCCCCUUCUAUUUGCUUUCUGAAGACAUCCAGGGUUUGAACAGGAGAGUCUUAGCCACUAGGAGAAAGGUGAUGUGUGCUAAAUUUUGCUUUCAGGAUCAUGGAACUUUGAAGCCGUGAGGGAGGAACUUUCUGUUCCCCUGAAGUUUCUGAACUGCUUCUGCAAGUGUGGUCUGGGAACGGUAACAUCAUUAUCUGGGAGUCUGUUGGAAAUGCAAAUUCCUGGGUCCCAACUAGAACUACUGAAUCAGAAUCUGUUGGGAGGAGGGUCCAGCAAUCUGUUUUGAAAAGCCCUGCAGCUGAUUCUGAUGCUUGCCAACAUGCAGGAAGCACUGGACUAUACCAUCUUGUUAUUAGACAACUAUGCAGGAAAAUAGCUGUGUUAUCAGACUGUAUUCAAAGGCCCUGAAGCUUAAAUAUUUUAAAAUAUUUCUUACAGCUGGACAUGGCAGCUCACACCUAUAUUCCCAGCACUUUGGGAGGCCAAGGUGGAAGGAUCACUUGAACCCAGGAGUUGAAGACAAGCCUGGGCAACAUAUCAAGACCCUCUUUUAAAAAAAAAAAAAAAAAAAAAAAGCCAGGCACGGAGGCUCUCAUGCCUAUAAUCCCAGCACUUUGGGAGGCCACGGCAGGCAGAUCAUGAGGUCAGGAGUUCAAGACCAGCCUGGUCAACAUGGUGAAACCCUGUCUCUACUAAAAAUACAAACAUUAGCUGGGCAUGGUGCUAUGUGCCUGGUAAUCCCAGCUACUGAGGGGGCUGAGGCAGGAGAAUGGCUUGAACUCAGGAGGCAGAGGUUGCAGUGAGCCGAGAUUGUGCCACUGCACUCCAGCCUGAGUGACAGAGCAAGACUCUGUCUCAAAAACAAACAAACAAACAAAAAACCCACAAAAAACAGCCGGGCACGGUGGCUCACACCUGUAAUCCCAGAACUUUGGGAGGCCGAGGCGGGCGGAUCACCUGAGGUCGGGAGUUUGAGACCAGCCUGACCAACAUGGAAAAACCCCGUCUCUACUAAAAAAAUACAAAAUUAGUGGGGCGUGAUGGUGCAUGCCUGUAAUACCAGCUACUCAGGAGGCUGAGGCAGGAGAAUUGCUUGAACCUGGGAGGCAGAGGUUGUGGUAAGCCGAGAUUGCACUAUUACACUCCAGCCUGGGGAACAAGAGUGAAACUCCAUCUCAAAAACCAAAACAAAAACUCCACAAAAAAACCAGAAAACUGUAAUUCAAUAGGUAAUGCUGUGUUCCAAUAAUUUUUUUUUUUUU